rfam:Myotis davidii contig215837, whole genome shotgun sequence.
UGCCUGCUUCUGUGUGAUAUGUUUGAUAUUGGGUUGUUUAAUUAGGAACCAACUAAAUGUCAAACAUAUUCUUACAGCAGUGGGCA